rnacentral:rRNA from 1 species
CCUACGGGAGGCAGCAGUGGGGAAUAUUGGGCAAUGGGCGCAAGCCUGACCCAGCAACGCCGCGUGAAGGAAGAAGGCUUUCGGGUUGUAAACUUCUUUUGUCAGGGACGAAGCAAGUGGCGGUACCUGACGAAUAAGCCACGGCUAACUACGUGCCAGCAGCCGCGGUAAUACGUAGGCGGCAAGCGUUAUCCGGAUUUACUUGGUGUAAAGGGCGUGUAGGCGGGACUGCAAGUCAGAUGUGAAAACCACGGGCUCAACCUGUGGCCUGCAGUUGAAACUGUAGUGCUUGAGUACUGGAGAGGCAGACGGAAUUCCUAGUGUAGCGGUGAAAUGCGUAGAUAUUAGGAGGAACACCAGUGGCGAAGGCGGUCUGCUGGACAGCAACUGACGCUGAGGCGCGAAAGCGUGGGGAGCAAACAGGAUUAGAUACCCCAGUAGUC